rnacentral:rRNA from 1 species
AUGAACGCUGGCGGCGUGCCUAAUACCUGCCAGUCGAGCGAACGGACGAGAAGCUUGCUUUUCUGAUGUUAGCGGCGGACGGGUGAGUAACACGUGGAUAACCUACCUAUAAGACUGGGAUAACUUCGGGAAACCGGAGCUAAUACCGGAUAAUAUUUUGAACCGCAUGGUUCAAAAGUGAAAGACGGUCUUGCUGUCACUUAUAGAUGGAUCCGCGCUGCAUUAGCUAGUUGGUAAGGUAACGGCUUACCAAGGCAACGAUGCAUAGCCGACCUGAGAGGGUGAUCGGCCACACUGGAACUGAGACACGGUCCAGACUCCUACGGGAGGCAGCAGUAGGGAAUCUUCCGCAAUGGGCGAAAGCCUGACGGAGCAACGCCGCGUGAGUGAUGAAGGUCUUCGGAUCGUAAAACUCUGUUAUUAGGGAAGAACAUAUGUGUAAGUAACUGUGCACAUCUUGACGGUACCUAAUCAGAAAGCCACGGCUAACUACGUG